rnacentral:lncRNA from 1 species
UGAGAGAUAGGUAGGCAGAUCUCUGUUAGUAUGAGGCUAGCCUGGUCUACAUAGGGAAGGGGGCAUAUUCAGUGUCCCCAGCAAGGGAGAUAAAGAGAUACACAAAGCCUAGUUGAGCUCUGGACUGAAGAUGGCCUCUAGUCUAAUAGAUGAUGUGGGAGGUAGGGAAGGAUGGGGCAGGGAGCAUUCUUAGGGAGAGGAUGUGGUUCUCCUUGGGUGUCCCAUUGUCCCUGCCCUGGGUGGGGGGUCCUUUUGAUCUCUAGUACAGCCUGGCGAGGCCCCUCCCUUCUCUGCAGAGUAGCAGGCAUCUGGGGUGCACCUGUGCCCGUGUUUGUGUGGAUCCAAGCCUCCUGUCUUCCUGCUGUGCCUGUCUGGGUAGUGAGGGGUGUUUAUAUACAGAAGCCUUGGAUUGUUUGGGUGUGCUCUGGUGGUGGAGUGUGCUGUAGGGGCCCAGUGCCUGCGACUACCAUUGUCUGCUUCUGCCUGCCACUGGGCCUAUGGGUCUGGGUGCCCAGCUGUCUGCAGGGCUGUGGAAGUGUGGGAGGGGAGGCACUCAAGCCCACCAGCCCCUGCCCUUCUCCUUACUCUGCCUGCCAGACUGAGUUCUCAUCACCUAGCAACUGGGGACUCUAGUCAGUGGCAGCCUCUCAGACAAAAAAAAAAAAAAAAA